rnacentral:rRNA from 1 species
UACGUAGGCAGCAAGCGUUGUUCGGAAUUACUGGGCGUAAAGAGUGUGUAGGCGGUGCUCUACGUUCGGUGUGAAAUCUCCUGGCUUAACUGGGAGGGUGCGCCGGAAACUGGAGUGCUCGAGCGUGGGAGAGGAAAGCGGAAUUCCUGGUGUAGCGGUGAAAUGCGUAGAUAUCAGGAGGAACACCUGCGGUGUAGACGGCUUUCUGGACCAUAGCUGACGCUGAGACACGAAAGCGUGGGUAGCAAACAGG